ACCCCUGCGCCAGCCUGGUGCCUCGCGCUUGGACAUGAUGACCGUGUGCAGCUGGGAACCGCCCUGCACUGAGCCGUUCAGCCGCGGGGAGAGGAGCCACCUGUGUCACACGGGCACCAGGUGAAGCACGGAGCCCUGUGCGCGUGACCAGCCCUCACAGCUCUUCUCAUUGCCCCAUUUUGAAACAGAUGCUCAGUUCAUGGACUGGCAGCAGGGACGUCCCUCUGGCUUUGCGGAUGACGUUGCGGUUCUGAAAGUGGCACUUUCCCUGGGGAAGUGAUGAAGCCCGCCCAUCAGGCCCUCCAGACGUGACAGUUGCCCUGAAGAGCAGCGUUAUCACGAGAGCAUCAUGGGCGAGCGCGAGGGCUCAGCAAAAUGUCCUAGGGCCCACGAUCCCACACAGGAGCCACGGGACACUUGGGCCGUUUCAAAGAGGGUGACGUUGAGCCCACUGUCACGUUGCGUGCCUUGCAUGUGCUUGGUGGCCGCCAUCUUGGGAGCAGCAUUGUGGAUCCCUGGCUCCUCAGCCCAGUGUUGGUAGAGUUCCUUCACCUUCCCCAGGGGCCACCGCAGUGUCAGGCCUGCAGCAGCCGGGUGUGUGUGUGUGUGUGUGUCUCCAUGGGAGAGUGUGAGAGUGUGUCCGGGGUCAGUGGGCGAUGCCCAGAGUCAAGUGGAGAACUGGGUUUUGGGGCAGGUCAGAAAUGUGCACCUAAUGCUUCCAAAGAGAGUGACAGCUGGCAGUGACACUUCGUAAAGGUCAUGUCAAUCAGGAGCUCUAGGGGAGGAAAGGGCCCAGAAUGCCAGGCCCGGGAAGGCGGCUGUUGUGCAAGGAAGCAGUGUGGCGGCCGUGGAGGGCCCGGUGGGCACCCUCCGCUGGGCUCCUGCUGUUGCUUUAAGGUACUGACACCCUCAAGCUGGCGGCCAAUCACGAGCCUUCUCCUUGGUGUGUUUUAAAACCAUGUUGAGCAGAGGCCCCAGAGGCCUGGAGUUAAGGGAUGGUGUUGGUUCAGGAGAGAGGACCCCCAGCAGGCAUGACAGUCACAAGGCCAGGCUGAGCUCAUCAGUGGGAGGCAGCAGCCAGGACGGGAGCUUCCUGCCACCCUCCAGACAUUGCUGCUGGGCCAGGGACAGUCCCCUGUGGGCCUGAGUCUCUGCCUGUGACAGACACCUCCACAUCCCUGCAGGGUUGGAAGGACUCGCAGGACCAGGAGCAGAGGACCUUGUUCACGAUGUCACAAAGACACUCCUCCAGAGAUCCGUCUGCCUUCAGAAUGUGCGGGGUUUAAGAACUCUCCCAGCCGCGUGGUCUUGGGAGGCCUCUCAGGUCCUGGAAAGAUCUUUUGGGAUGGAGCUUGGGGUUUUUGUUGUUUGGAGACCAGGGAUUGAACCCAGGGGCGUAUAACCACUGAGCCACGUCCUCAGCCCCCCUUUUUUAAAAAAUUUUUAAUUUAGAGACAGGGUCCUGCGAGUUGCUUGGGGCUUCGCUAAGUUGCUGAGGCUGGCUUUGAACUCACAAUCCUCCUGCCUCAGCCUCCUGAGCUUCUGGGAUGACCCGUGUGGCCGAUGCACCUGGCAGAGUUUGUGUUUUUAUUUAUCAAUUAAUUACGGUCAGCUACGCAGCUUGGGGCCUGGCGCAUACCAGGUGUGUUUGUUGGUUAACUGAUAAAGAGUGGGGGCGUCUCAGGGUCAGAGAGGCCCUGGUUUCCAGACAGGAGACAGCCAGUGUCAUCUUAGGUUGCAGGAUGUUGGAAAGAUUGACAGGCCCCAAAGUGACCUCCUGAGGGGGAUUCUGGGCUCUCUGCGGUGCCCUUGGCCCACCGGCCUGACCGUGACUCCUGCCCUCGCCCCAGCUAACCACGCGUCCCAGCUAGCCACUAAUUAGGACUCAGUGCUCCUGUGCAGGGAGGUGACUCAAACACAAGCCACGCGACAGUGGGGAGCCUGAGGCCAGGCCAGCUCUGACCCUCCUCCACGUGACAGAGCCCUGCCUGGCCUCGCCUGGGUCCCUGGCAGAACCAGCCCAUCCAGGAGGGGCCCCUGUCUCAGAGCCAAGCCCAGGCAUCGGGACGGUGAACGGGCUGCACUGGACCUGCCGUCUCCUUGGCAACGUCCCUCGGAGCCUCAGGUCCUCUGUCUCUUACACGGUGACAGCUCUGCCCUUCUUGGGAGCUCUGGUGGCAUUUCAGAUCAUUCAUCCAUCAUCGUCAGGGUGAGUCACUGUGGUCACUUCUGGCCCACAGCGCUGCCCAGCAGCCCUGCAGGUGUGCUGUGCCCCCUCGGUGAGGCCAGACUGGACCACGGUGUUCCUGAGGGACGUGCUCCUCUGAGGACAGCCACGUACCACUAGGUCUCCACCCACCGGUCCCCCCACUACCGGGUUAGUCCACCAUUCAGCACACGCUUAGGGGAAAGCUGGGGACAGGACGCUUCACAGUGGCCAGGCCCCUGCUCUCACCGCCUCCACAGGAAGCCCCUCGGGUGAGUGCCAGGGUGCAGGCUGGCCGGGGCGCUCCGGGGCCCCGCACGGCUCCCCUCACACAGGCCUGAAUCGUAGCCAAGAAGUCUUCACGAUGUCUCAUCACUGUCCCUGCUGUCACCCACCUGAGGUAAUCAGCACGAGUGACUGGUGGUGGCCUGGAGUAAUGACGCAUGGUCCUUACUGCUGCAAUGCGUGCUGGGGACGACCUUUGAGGGGGGCCCUGGGGACCAGCCAGGCUCUCCUCUGCCUUCGGAGCCUGGGCGGGCUGGAGAAGGUGCCUCUCGGGAGGGCAGCCCCUGUGUUUGAGGGUCCCCAGGCCACGAGCCGCUUGGGCAUCUGGCCAGGUGGGGGCUGGCAGAUGCGGGCCCCAUCACUGCGAGCCGUGGGCACCUGGUCCUCCCGUGCUGUGUGAGUGGCACCGUGGACAUCAUUGCUGCUUUUUAAAAAUUGCAAUAAGUAUACAGCUCGUUGCCAAACCUCCUGCUUUUCAAAUAACCAGGAAAUCCAGGUAAUUUUCAACUGUGUAAAUUAUCUACAACGUAGAAUCAGCCAUGUCGCUGUGUCACGUGCGCGGUUCAGGGACACGGGGUGUGUUCACGCGGCCAUGCAGCCGUCACCGCCGUCCAUCUCUGGAUCAUUCCCCUCUUCCCAGGAUGAAACUGUCCCGUUAAACCUGCCCACCCCCUGCAGCCCAGCUCCCCGUCCUGCGUCUGCCUCUGUGGUUUUGGUCCUGUUGAGAGUGGCUUGUCGGAUUUAGCACGGUGUCCCUGUUGUCCAUCCACGCCGGGGCCUGGGUAGAAUUCCCUUCCUUUUCAAGGCUGAAGAACCGGCCCCUGCGCAGCUGGACGGCUGUUUGCUUCCUCGAGUGUCUGCUGACGGACGCCCUUCGGACCCAGGCUGCCGUCCACCUAGCCGCACACCCAUCCUGCUCCGGGAGGUGGACCUCACGUGGGGUCUGAAGGUCCCGUGCCGCUCCGCCUGUGCCCCUCUGAGCAGCGGCUGUGUUUGGCGGUCCUGCUGUGGGCGCCCCAAUACUGUCAGGAGCGGGUAGCGCAAGUAGGAGGUGGUGAGGAGGCCCUGGGCAGUGGACCUGUAGGCUCUGGGAGGCCGCUGGCCCUCAGCUGCCUCUGGGCUUCCUUUGCUUUGGGCUUAUGUGGCUGGAGGCAGGGCUCGAGGCAGUGGCUCGGAUGUUUGUAAAGAAGGUUCCAGCGUCCUGGAGCUGGCCAGGUUUGGUGACAUGGAGCCACCUGUUGUCUGGGUGAUUUCUGAGGAUCUGCUCCCCCCUGGCUGGACAGCUGGUGCACUGACCAGCAAAGACCAGGUGCUGGUGGGGCUGAGGUCCCUUGUUCCUCCGGGUCUGGGACGUCUGAGACGAGGUGUGGCUACAGGUCAGAGCAGGUGCACUGGGGAUGGCUACUGCCCGUGGCUCUCGUCAGAGACCUGCCUGCGUCCUCAGAGGGACCCGUUGGGAUUUGAGCUCCGACCUCAAUGUGGAUGUCCCUGCCACGGCCAGCCAGCUGUGUCCAGAGCCAGGUGUCCAGCCAGCUGAUGUUUUAUUUUCUUCCAAGAAUGUCAUAUUUUCAGUUGUAAAGGCCUUUCAUGGGAGACAGGGUGUCACAGAGACCGUGACAGUUUUGAGAGUGGCUGGUAGAGAUAGGGGACAGGGAUGGCACGAGACUCCGUUUCCGGGCACUUUCAGAGUAUUUGUGAGGCUGAUUUUGAGUCGCCAGAUUUCUGCUUGAAAACGGACGACGUGCUUCAUUCCUCUUGCGAAAUACGAAGGAUGGCCCUCGCCAGGCAGCGGGGGGCAGAGCCCCUGUGCCUACGCGGCAGAGAGGUGUUUCUAGGUGUCUUUGUGUCUGUGACUGCAGUUAGGCUGGCACCUCCCUCUCCCGUGGACAGCCAGUGCCACCUGUGUCUUUGAUCCAGGGUCGCAUCGUUGGCACCAAGGUCGUCCUUUAGGAAGGCCGCGAGGUCUUAAAGCUGACCUAGACCACACUGACCGUACCAGGCAGGACCGGGCAGAACCAGGCAGGCACAGCUAGAGGGUUGCCAGGCGCCUUGUCCUGACCCAGUGUGGCCAUGUGGGCAGUGCUGACCCUGGUCCAGGGAACCUUGUCCCACUGGCCCUGAGGACGGGUGAGGAGGGGGUGUGGGGUGCCUGUCCAGGGUCCUCAGCUCUUGCUCUGCACUUGCUUGCUUGACACGGGCUAUGCAGAGGGGCCGAGGCAGGGUCUGCUGUGUUUGCAGAACUGGGAGCCAGCAUCACGGCCAUUCUAGAAUGUUUCCAUCCCCUCUAAAGGACACUCUUGCUGUAACCCGGCACCGCCCCCAGCCACCAGCAACCUCAAGCCCACCUCUGUCCCGGUGUGUCCUUGGGGACAGCACAUACGGUGGAGCCACUUGGCCUGUGGCUUGGCGUGGGCUCCUCUCCGCAGCACCGUGCCCUCCAGGUUCUGUUGUAGCACAGGUCAGUGCUUCACCCCUCUUGAGCGAUGUCCAGGGUGGGGGCUGCCUUUGUGCAGCCAUCCGUCCGUGGCGGCUCCUGUGCUUCCCCCCGUUGGAAAUGCAUCUGCCUUUGCAAGAUCACCUCGGACGCCGAUUGCCACCUCGGACGCCGAUUGCCUCCCCGGACCUGGCAGUGACUUGGGAAUGUCUCAGGCUCAGCCUCCCACAGCGGCCAGAGGGGUAGGGAGGAAAGAGCCAGGGUAUGUGGAAACAGCGGGUACAAUAGCACCUGACACUGACCGUGCUGGUCAGUGUCGACAAGGUUCCGCCUGGUAACAAGCAUCCCACACUGCCGGUGGCUUUCGUCCAUAUGGUGCCUACAUCUGUGUGCAGCUGUGGCUUUGGGACAGUUUCAUCUCGUCCCAGCAACCAGGUGGAAGGAGAUGCUGGCGUUCUCAGGCAGGAAGAGCAGAGGGACACAGACCUGACCUCAGGGGAAGGGGAGCGCACACUGCUCCCCACAGGGAGACCCCUGCAGAGGGGAGCCCAGGGCUGCCUGGAACCAAGAAAACCUGGGGCUGGGGUGGUAGAGGCUCAGUGGUGAGGCUCGCCCAGCAUGCCAAGGCCCUGCGAGGAGGAAAAAGGACACAGAAAGCACUCUGUCAGGGUCAGGCCACAUCUGUGUCAAUAAAGUUUUAUUGGAACAUGGCCCCACCCAGACGCUGACAGUGCCUGUGGCUGCUUCUGGGCUGCCCCAGCCGCAGUGAGUAGCGUGACGGAGACCGUGUGUGCUCUGGGCUGAGGCGUCUGCCCGGCCUCUCUGCGGGAGCCUGGUCAGCAGCCUCACGGGCAUGGUCAUUACAGGGGUUGUCCCGUGCCACCGGUGGCUCCUGUUUCUGUGGCCAGUGGGACCUCCUGCCUUAGAUGUUGUGGCUGCCAGAUUAACGCCUCCCAGGUCUCCACCUAACCCCCCACGCCUGGGAACGUGGAUGGGACAUGACCCCGGGCCCGUCAGGGGGCCAGCAGGGGAGGCGGGGGUGGGGUCUGAGUCAGAGGAGAAGAAAGCCUGGAGGAGCCACACUCUGGCCUUGAGGAUGGAGGCUCGGCCAGGGGACAGCUCAGCCUCAGGGACCUGGAGGGGGAGACCUUCCGCUCUGGAGCCGCUGGGAGGUGCAUGUGACCUGCCUGUGUCGAGGACCCCGCCUCCGGGACUGAGAGCUGCCCCGUGGCCAUCUGUGGCAGCAGCCAAGGGGCAUCACAGCCCUUCCUGGCAGGCCCCAAGACCGUCCUGUUCCAGGCGAGGAAGCCGCCCGCAGAGAGGCUGAGUGAGCCGCGACAGAGCCGUGUCCAGACCCGGGAGUCCUCGCCGUCCGCCACGCUCCUCGUGCGUCACUGCAGGGCCUGCCCUCUGGUCACCACAUGGGGACGGCUAGUGAAUGGAAGUGUGGCUCAGACUCUGCGUCACUCUGGGGAGAGUAAGGAGGUGGCAGGCCCUCUACACACUGUCCUGAGGGUGACAUUUCUCUUCCUGUUGACCCACCUGCUCCUCCUGGCCACCUUGCCCCGUCCACAGCUGCCCUGAGUCUGUUGGCUUUGGUCUGCUCCCCACUGCUGCUGCCCCCUGGGAGACGGGGAGUCACUUUUGGGUGACCCCAUCCAUUCUUCAGAAUGUCAUCUUCCCACUUGUUUCUCUGGAUGGCUUGCUGUGGGGUUGACCGGGCACCUCCUGCCCUCCAAGUUCAGGGUCACCAGCUGGACCUUACUGGCCAGCACUGCCCUCCUCUGUCGAUGACCAGGUCUUGCCAGUCUGGUGACCUGUUUCCUCCCUUGGUCCCGUUCUGCCCUGUGGCUCCUGUUGGAGGGAAGCAGCUCCUGGUCCUCCUCGCCCCACCAGACCAGCUCUGAAGCAGAUGCCUGUCCCCGGAGCCACGUGCUGCCUCAACUCUCCAAGCCCCAUUAUCCCAUGGUCCAGCUGGGAGCAGGUGGGAGACCGCCACAUCUUCCGCCCGGGGCCUUUCUGGGGUGAGUUGCCCUGGCAACCGACUCACACUCCCUCGGAUGGUCCCCACCAGCCUCCAUGCGCCCCGUCUACCCCUGGACCUGGUCUGCUCCUGCAGCAUUAGUCUUCCUGGCUGGCUGACAGCUGCCUCGACAUCUGCCCAUCACUGUUCUCCCUUCAAACAGACGCGCCUUUCCUGGAGGGCCCCUGAAUGGCCGUGGAGGGGGGCUCGGGCUGCUCCACACAGGGGAACAGGUGUGGCGUCCAUCUGAGUCUGGGUCGUGCUGUUGGUGGAGUUGAAGGUCUUGUGCAGAGCAGAGUUCUCUAGAGAAACAGACCUGGUGAGGAGCAUAUGGGUUUAUGUGAUCAUUGACAUAAAAUAAUGACUGGGUUUUAAAGGAAAUAAAACAUUUCAUUCUGA